UGCCAGCCGCCGCGGUAAUACAGAGGUGGCAAGCGUUGUUCGGUAUCACUGGGCUUAAAGGGCGCGUAGGCGGCGCGAUACGGUCUGGGUGAAAUCCCUCGGCUCAACCGAGGAAUUGCCUGGGCAACGGUCGUGCUAGACAGCAUCAGGGGAAGGUGGAACUCGCGGUGGAGCGGUGAAAUGCGUAGAUAUCGCGAGGAACGCCGGUGGCGAAAGCGACCUUCUGGGGUGCUUGUGACGCUGAGGCGCGAAAGCUAGGGGAGCGAACGGGAUUAGAUA
rnacentral:rRNA from 1 species